rnacentral:rRNA from 1 species
UAAGGGAUAUUGGACAAUGGGCGCAAGCCUGAUCCAGCAAUGCCGCGUGGAGGACGACGGAUUUCGGUCUGUAAACUCCUUUUGUCAGGGACGAGCAAGGACGGUACCUGGCGAAUCAGUCACGGCUAACUACGUGCCAGCAGCCGCGGUAAUACGUAGGUGGCGAGCGUUAUCCGGAUUUACUGGGCGUAAAGCGUGUGCAGACGGGUCAACAAGUGAUGUAUGAAAGGUCGGUGCUUAACAUCGACAAGCUAUGUCAGACUGUUGGUCUAGGGUGCAAGAGAGGGAGAUGGAAUUCCGGGUGUAGUGGUGAAAUGCGUAGAGAUCCGGAGGAACCCCCGAGGCGAAGGCGGUCUCCUGGCUUGUAACCGACGUUCAGACACGACAGCACGGGUAGCGA